GGGGCGGUAGCUCAGCGGGAGAGCGCCCGGCUGAAGACCGGGAGGUCGGGGGUUCGAAUCCCCCCCGCCCCA
rnacentral:tRNA from 1 species